AAUCUUUCACGGAGAGUUUGAUCCUGGCUCAGGACGAACGCUGGCGGCGUGCCUAAUACAUGCAA
rnacentral:rRNA from 1 species